rnacentral:rRNA from 1 species
UUCGCCCUUAGAGUUUGAUCCUGGCUCAGGAUGAACGCUGGCGGCGCGCCUAACACAUGCAAGUCGAACGGCACCCCUCUCCGGAGGGAAGCGAGUGGCGAACGGCUGAGUAACACGUGGAGAACCUGCCCCCUCCCCCGGGAUAGCCGCCCGAAAGGACGGGUAAUACCGGAUACCCCGGGGCGCCGCAUGGCACCCCGGCUAAAGCCCCGACGGGAGGGGAUGGCUCCGCGGCCCAUCAGGUAGACGGCGGGGUGACGGCCCACCGUGCCGACAACGGGUAGCCGGGUUGAGAGACCGACCGGCCAGAUUGGGACUGAGACACGGCCCAGACUCCUACGGGAGGCAGCAGUGGGGAAUCUUGCGCAAUGGGGGGAACCCUGACGCAGCGACGCCGCGUGCGGGACGGAGGCCUUCGGGUCGUAAACCGCUUUCAGCAGGGAAGAGUCAAGACUGUACCUGCAGAAGAAGCCCCGGCUAACUACGUGCCAGCAGCCGCGGUAAUACGUAGGGGGCGAGCGUUAUCCGGAUUCAUUGGGCGUAAAGCGCGCGUAGGCGGCCCGGCAGGCCGGGGGUCGAAGCGGGGGGCUCAACCCCCCGAAGCCCCCGGAACCUCCGCGGCUUGGGUCCGGUAGGGGAGGGUGGAACACCCGGUGUAGCGGUGGAAUGCGCAGAUAUCGGGUGGAACACCGGUGGCGAAGGCGGCCCUCUGGGCCGAGACCGACGCUGAGGCGCGAAAGCUGGGGGAGCGAACAGGAUUAGAUACCCUGGUAGUCCCAGCCGUAAACG